GCCUGCAUGGUGUAGUGGUUUGAGCACUAGACUAUAACUCUGGAGAUCAGGGAUCAAAUCCCUCAGUCA